ACGGAAGGCAGCAGUGGGGAAUAUUGCACAAUGGGGGAAACCCUGAUGCAGCGACGCCGCGUGAGCGAUGAAGUAUUUCGGUAUGUAAAGCUCUAUCAGCAGGGAAGAAAAUGACGGUACCUGACUAAGAAGCUCCGGCUAAAUACGUGCCAGCAGCCGCGGUAAUACGUAUGGAGCAAGCGUUAUCCGGAUUUACUGGGUGUAAAGGGAGCGUAGGCGGAAGGCUAAGUCUGAUGUGAAAACCCAGGGCUCAACCUUGGGACUGCAUUGGAAACUGGUUUUCUAGAGUGUCGGAGGGGUAAGUGGAAUUCCUAGUGUAGCGGUGAAAUGCGUAGAUAUUAGGAGGAACACCAGUGGCGAAGGCGGCUUACCGGACGACAACUGACGCUGAGGCUCGAAAGCGUGGGGAGCAAACAGGAUUAGAUACCCUGGUA
rnacentral:rRNA from 1 species